CCUACGGGAGGCAGCAGUGGGGAAUUUUGGACAAUGGGCGCAAGCCUGAUCCAGCCAUGCCGCGUGCAGGAUGAAGGCCUUCGGGUUGUAAACUGCUUUUGUACGGAACGAAAAGGUUUGGCCUAAUAAGCUGAGCUCAUGACGGUACCGUAAGAAUAAGCACCGGCUAACUACGUGCCAGCAGCCGCGGUAAUACGUAGGGUGCGAGCGUUAAUCGGAAUUACUGGGCGUAAAGCGUGCGCAGGCGGUUAUGUAAGACAGAUGUGAAAUCCCCGGGCUCAACCUGGGAACUGCAUUAGUGACUGCAUAGCUGGAGUACGGCAGAGGGGGAUGGAAUUCCGCGUGUAGCAGUGAAAUGCGUAGAUAUGCGGAGGAACACCGAUGGCGAAGGCAAUCCCCUGGGCCUGUACUGACGCUCAUGCACGAAAGCGUGGGGAGCAAACAGGAUUAGAUGCCCUGGUAGUCCACGCCCUAAACGAUGUCAACUGGUUGUUGGGUCUUCACUGACUCAGUAACGAAGCUAACGCGUGAAGUUGACCGCCUGGGGAGUACGGCCGCAAGGUUGAAACUCAAAGGAAUUGACGGCNGAGAGNGCGAGGACGACACGAGGGAGGAG
rnacentral:rRNA from 1 species